CCGAAUUCAAAAUAGAAACGUAAAUAAUAAUUAGGCAUCCGAGUUCAGUAAUCCAUGAAUCUUCUUUUAUUAUUUAACAUUGAACAACGAAAUAGACAUGUCAUACCAAUGCAGCUGAGGCAAAUAGAAGCCAUGCUUGUUUCCAAUGUUGCUCAUCAGAUCUUUGUAAUACAUAUGGAUGUGGAGAAGGUAGGUUUUUUUUAUUCAAUACGCUCAGCAAAAACUUAAAAAUUUCCACCGAAUUGAUUUGAGAGACACAUAUUUGUUAUGUAUUCUUUCAAAUCCUUCACUAAAAGAACUAUGGUCAUGUUCCAAAUAAAAAAAAAGUGUCCACUAUAAACAACUACUAUAUGAUCAAAUUUCAAAUCGAUUGAUAUUAAAAUGGUUAUGAAGUUAUUCUUUCCUAAUUUAUCCCGCUUCGAAAAGAAUCAAUCAAUCACUAUCAUUGACCAUUUGUCAAGAGUUUUCGGUUAAUAAAAGCCUUUUUAUUAAGCAUUCAACCAUAAGUCCAUCUUCCGUUACACAUGCCUUACGUAUCAACAUGUCCACUAUAAACAACUACUAUAUGAUCAAAUUUCAAAUCGAUUGAUAUUAAAAUGGUUAAGUCCAUCUUCCGUUACACAUGCCUUACGUAUCAACAUACGGACUAGAUUAUUUCCACAAAGUACCGAUAUUAAGUUAAUAUUUGCAUUUCAAUUUCUCACUCUUAUAUUCUUUAAUGAUAGAUACAACGCAAUAUGAUGGACGUAUAUGUUAUAAUUGCCAAGGCGUAUUAACACCAGCCGAGUGCCAUACAGUAUCGUUUUGUGAUCCGUUUGAGGUAUAUAACAAGUCAAUAACACUUUGUUCCAAACAAUUUUUAAUGAUUGCUUUACAAAUCUUCAGUCGAAACAGCAUUGAAAGGUAGUAAGGGAUAUAUAAAUUCAAGUUCAAAUAUAUAUAUCAUCCAGACCAUGAGAGUAUUUGUACCAUAUGCGUAUGGUCAUGACAAUACAAUGUAUGCCUAUACUCAUAUGGUUAUUAAUCUGAGUGUAUCUGUCAUUUUAACGUGCCUCAAUGCCUCCAGCAGGUGUUUGGAAAACAGUGUUUCAAUGAUUGAACGUUUUCCAAAGUUGAUUUGUUCUUCGAAUAUUUUUAUCAAUAAGUUAUAUAAAUAAGAAAUAAGAAAUAUUUUUAUGGUACAAUGGAUCAAAAUCCCUUACAAAUUAUAUAUUUGCCAAAAUCGAAACAGGUGGCUAGCCACGGAAGCUGUGUUAUAACGACAUAAUCGUAGACGUUUUCUUUUUUGUACUAUAAUAGUCGUCAAAACGCUCAGGUUCAUUGUCUUAAUUGUCAGAGGAUAACAGAAAGCAUAUUUAUUAUAUCAAGCGAUUUAUCUAUAAUGAGUUUAUUCAUAUCAAAGGAUUCUAGAAAUAAUCACGAAUUUCUGCUGUCCGUGAAAAGUUAUAUUGAAUAAUCAUGAGUCAAAAUAAGGAACGAAAUUUAAAAACAAAAAAGUGUUACUAUGUCCACGACAAGAUGACUACACAAGAACACCAGUAAACAGUACAGCAUGUAAUCCUUUAGGGAAGAGAAUAUAACUUUUAAAAUCGAUAAAAACUUUUAAAAAUAUAAAUGUCCUCCAUUUCAGUUGUGUCGUUGCUAUAAGUAUUCUAAUACUGUUUUACAAAGGUAUUAAAUAUAUAGUUUUUCAUUUAAUGGUUAAAAAAAUAAAAAUAUAGUGAAUAAAGCUAUGCACAAUUAAAUAACUUGUGAUAGAUAUAAGUUGCCAUAUCAGUGACAUCAUAAAAAUUUUUUAAAUCUUUAUUUUUGUGGUUGUUUUUUUAAAUAGAUUUGCUAUAUGGAAGAAUUUUUUCACUUUGGAGAAGCAUUUUAUCACAGUGGCUGUAAAGAAAAACAUGUAAGUGAAUUACCUAUCGAAUAUAAGUUUAUGAUGUUAGGUAUCUAUCUUCCAAUACGGCAACUACAUGUACCAAAUUGAAAACAAUGUUUGAAAAUGGGAAUAAUAAAAGACAACCUGUCGGUACAAUACAACUGAAUAACAGAAAACUAAAACAGCCACAUGUAACACAAUAAUAUGUCAGGGAUAAACAUUUAAAAGCCCUUUCCAUUAACUGAUUUUCCCCUCAUAAUACAUUUUAUUAUUUUCGACCAAAUCUUCUAAAGAGAAUUAUAACUCUAAUAUACGCAAAGUUUUUUCUGAUGGUGUUUUAACACCCCAAAGUUCAUGCUUUGUAAAAAGUCCUUGUAUUUCGUAUUUAUUAAGAAGAAUUUGCUAGUCCUAAGACUUUUGUAUACGUGUCACUGUUGUGCGCAUCCCUUUUCAUUGUUAAUUUUUGUACUUAUUUUAUUUAAAUAUUAUAGGAUUUUUUCUAUAAGUUAUCGUUCAUAUCAUAUGAAGAUUUGGUAUCAAAAUAAAAGAAAGAUAGUGUAUAUUUCUGUUCGAUAUAACUUUGCUGCGGCAUAAACAGAGAGAAAAAUAAAACAUUCAUUUUAAAGCGUUUGCUUAGGGACUUUCCGUUUAUAAUUUUCUUCGGAGUUCGGUAUUGUUAUUAUUUUACUUUUCAAAUUAUAUUAAUUUUUAUAUUGUUAAACUCGUCCAUAUCGUCCACAUUACAUCGUCUACAUUGCAAAGUCUCCGAUUAACUAGUGGUAUAACUUACAAAAAAGUAGUGUUAGGACCAAUUAUUAAAAUAGAUAUAUUGUUAUUGUGAUCCUCGAUUAAGAAAUCAGUGACUCGCGAUGCUCUGAUGGUCUAUACAGUAGUGGUACUAAAGGGAGUGUGAUCAUCAAUUUCAUAAAGGUACUCUUCGGCACUUGCAAUUUUUAAAUAUUUGCUAGCUUUUAUUUAAAAUAAAAAAUAGUUACACAUUUAUUAAAACUCCUUCUCUUAUUUGCACUAAGCAUAACAAUUUGAUAAUGAUACAACAAGAACAGAAAACUAUAGUUCUGCCACAUUAUAACUAGUUUAUAUAUAAAUGUUUCCAUCUUAAAAAAAUUAUGGUUUCAAAUUCCCAUUUCAAUUUUUUAUGACGAUCUUGUUCUUUAAAUAUUUUGGGGGGUCAAAUGAACACUUUACUGUCUCGUCAUUACGAUCCAAACAGAAGCUUCAAACCAUUCAAUAAUUUCAAAAUUCAUCUUUUGGGGGUAGAAAAGGGGGACAAGGACAUGCAGCAUUAUUAUAGAUAGAAAGAUUUCGUGUAAAUUAUAUAGAUAAUAUAACAUUUAUAACGUGUUUAUAUUAAAACAUGAUGACAGAGACAUUUACUUAUAUGGUUCUGAUGAUGAUAAAUUAUCAAGUUUCAUCUUCCAAUAUAAAGAAUAAAGUAAUUGUGUACGGAUAACGUUUCAUCAUCAUAUCAAAUAAAACAAACAAACCAUCGGAUCUUGGUAUUACUGUACAUAUUAUCAUUAUUUAUUAGUUAAAAAAAAAAUCAAAUUAGCUAUACACACUUUAUGUUGUAUACCCAUUAUGUGCCUGACUUGACAGGGAAAAUAUGAUAUCCAUUGAACAAUUAAAUCGUUUCAUUUUGUAAACAGACUAUUACUCCGCAUACCCAUUGAAUUAAGGUGUCAAUAUUAAUUACAACGUCUAACCAAACAACUAAAAAAAAUUACUUACAUAAAAAAAUCAGCAUGUAAGCUUCACGCGUGUAAUUAUAUAAAAAGAAUUAGUCGUUCAAAGUAUGAACAUAAUAUAGUCUUAAGUUCUUUUAGGCAUAUCCUCUUCAGAAUCUAAAAUUUGAGGUUCCUUUUGUCCUUCUUUUAACCUCUUUAUGUACAUGCUAUAUAAAUAUUAUAUCACCUUACCGAUGCAUGCACCAUUUUGACCUUAUAGGUAUGUGAUGCACAGCAUAUUGCAAAUCCUAUUAUUGGACGACGAGAGGAAAACAGCAAAAGAUCAACGAGUCACCUUUUAUGUUGUGAUGCACAUUUGUGUAACAAUGAUUAUAAGCUGCUGGGAACACUUAUACCAUCGCAUACAACAAGAAGUUAUCCUGUCCAAACAAGGCCUGUGGGUAUGUUUGUUUCACUAUUUGUUUCCUUUUAACAAGAAUAGUUCUAGAUACAAAAAGAUAAUAUUGUUCAUAGAUGAGAUUUACCUAAUCAAAAAUAAAACAAUGUGUUCCAAGCUCAGUUCAUAUAGUUUAAACGCCAGUGGCAAGUACAUUUACUCUGAAAAAAUAUGCCAAAAAAUAUCUAAAUGGUUUUUCAUUUCCUUUUGUUAGAUUUACCUAAUAAAAAAUAAAACGAUGUGUUCCAAACUCAGUUCAUAUAGUUCAAACGCCAGUGUCAAGUACAUUUACUAAAAAAAAGCCAAAAAAUAUGUAAAUGGUUUUUCAUUUCCUUUUGUUUAACAUUUUAAGACGAUGACUAUCCCUCAUCACAAUCUUAUAGUGUUUAUAUAUCUGAGCUGCAUGUGUAUGACUGUCCCCAGUCAGGAGCCUCUGGUCUUUGUAUUUUUUAUAAUUUUAGUUCAUUAAUAUGUUUUAGAGUUUAGUAAAACGUCAAUUUUUACUGAAAAAGUACACUUUUUUUGGUUAGGGUCAACUAAAACCUCUUGCGGGUAAGGGACCUUCUUGCUGUGUUGUAGACCAUUUGGUGGCCUACUGUCUCAUUGCUGGGAUUGUUGUCUUCUUGACACAUUUUGUACAGAAAAGUCCGGUAUGCUUGCGCACUUACAUUUCUGAAUAUCAAGAAACUUUGAAUUUUUUCAUUGUGAAACUUAUCAUGAACAAUUACCUGAUUUAUUUUGUACAAAUAAUAGGUACAACAAGUAGUUAUCCUGUCCAAACUCAACCUAAUG
rnacentral:lncRNA from 1 species